AAAUUGACGCGGCCAAUUUUCGGGUUACUAAAGUUUAAUUCCCGCUAUUGAAUCUGUUAAGAGGGAAAAAUGUGAAAUUUUGGCUAAGGCAAAAUAAAUUAAAACAAGAAACAUCACUUUUUCAUUUUUUUCUUAAGGCAAAAUAAACUUCUUCUCUCUCGAUUUCUCUCGAUUUCUCACAGUCAACAACACAUCUCACUUGAUUUCACUCGAAUUCUCACAAUCUGCAACUCAAUCUCAGUCGAUAUCUCUCGAUUUCUCUCGAUCUCCAACAGGAAGAGCUUGGUGAAACUUCUGUUGAAGGUUUAUGAGUUUCAUUUUGAUAUAUCAAUUUUAAUGUUUUGGUAAAUAAUUGAUAUCUAAUUGAUCUCUAUGUGACUGUUCUUGACUUCUUGCAACUGAGUUACGCUCAUGAGAAUAACUGAGUUACAUGUUUUGGCAAGAUGUCGCUUGCCUGUGAUCUUGUGGUGUCAUCCAGGAAGUGGAGAUGUGAUUGCCCGCUCAUCACAACCUUUAUUUGGUUUGAUGAUGAACAUGAGGAGUCUUGAUAAAGCUGUGGAGCUAAAUUAUCAGUGGAUUGCAUUUGAUGAUGUUUGUUACCAUGUUCAGGUGAAAUUUUUCACUCUUAAGAUUUGUAUAAGAUCCAUAUGCUCUUGUUCAGUUUUCUGAUUUUAUGAGUUUGUUUGA